GCCGAAGUGAAUCAAAAGUGCCAAGAAUUGGAUCCAGUUCCCUACCAAGUGAUGCUUCACUAAUCUUUAUAUUUUUUGAGGAUUCUUACUUUAGCUGCUGGAUUCAAAUCUCAAGUUAAUCAAUAAAGUCAGCGGUAGUAUUUUUAAACAUAUUCUUUAUAUAAAUGUUGCCACUUGCUCUAAUCCAGUCAAUAAUUAUCCAGUUAAUCAAAAACUUGAAAUGAAGAAACAUCUUGCGAAAAGUAUGUUUUAUUUAUAAAGUUUAUAAACUACAAUUUUUGGGUGUUAUCAAUUACAUUGCUCUAAGCAAGCUUGCAAUUCGCUGAAGUUAAAUAAAUUGCUGUUGAGUACACCCUAAUGUACAUGCGCGCCUCUCUAUCCAAUCCGGUAUCUUUAGGUCGUACAUACACCAUUGUACGCUGGUAGCGUAUGAUACCUUCUUCCAUGAAGGCGUUUAUAGAAGGUGACGAAUGGACAGUAUUGUGCAAUAGAAAGUGUUGAAAUCACGUGCUGAAUUACAAUUCCUAAUUUACUACUCUAUUUGCAAGUAUUUAAACCUAAACUACUAUGAAAUUUUGCUACUUAUCUAAAUUCGCUUAAGGUAAUAGUUCUUAUAUAUGAAUUAAUGUGAAGUUAUACUAAAUUAUUGAAAUGCUAUAUACAGUGUCGCCUUAAACCUACAUAGUGCAUUACCAUAACCCUACAUCUAUUCGGAUUAAAAGCCUACAUGCAAAGGCUGAUCGAAAAAUAAGAACUCGCAUAAUCAGGAACAUUGAUCGCCGGCAGGUAUCGCACAACGGGACUAAACGUAAGUCAAAACGGACAAACAUAUAUUUCUCAAAGCACUAAAUGAACAUUAAAUAAUUAGAAUUGCAACAU